rnacentral:lncRNA from 1 species
CUAUGCAUAAGUUAUUCAGUAGCGGGGCUAAUAUCCAAAUGUAUGGAUUCAAUCACAUUUAUAGAUACGAGACACGAUAGCAUGGCAACCAUCUACUUAAUAUAUAUAUUAAUGGCAAGAGUGUAUAAGGAUUCAGUGCAUAAUGAUUUUAUCAUGAUUCCUAGAAAAUGAUUUUAUCAUGACCCAUUGCUGCAUGUAUGUAAUUUUCUCAAAGGUUUAAAUAGUAGCUCGUUUGCAACUCAGCUAGAAAAUACAACACAAAUAUUUGCUCCCAAAUAUAAGCUGCCCAUGACACGCCCAGAAACCGUCCACAACCUUGAAGCAUAGAAGCUGCAGGAAAAGUAUAUAUGGUUAUGAGAAUGAACACCAGAACAUGUACAUCAUAAUAAAUCAUGAAUUACAAAACUAACAUACCUCAUGACUCCAAGACAUCCC